GCCAUUUCCUGUCGGAUCCGGGUGAGGAGAGGUGCGGAGCUGGUGCUCCCGCCUCGGGAGCUUUUCCAACUCCUGUUGCCUGGCCGUUGCCGACACCGGUAUCGGGCGUUGGGGCGAGGAGGGCAAGUUUGAGCUCGGCGGGUCACGCACAUACUUGGCGAUUUUUCGCGGUCUGAGAGAGGGUGUCUAAAGGACCCGAAGGAUAUUUAUUUAUCCUUGCAAACAGCUUGGUAUUGGUUUUUAACCUCUUUUAUCCAGAUCUGCCACCUCACGUCAGUGUUUAACCGAGUGGUGGGCCAGAAGGCUACUGCAGCACCAUAGUGUCAGUUGGUCCCGCCCAGAACACUUCAGUUCUGCUCUGCAAGGAUAUAUAACUGAUUGGUGUGUCCAUUUAAUACAAGAAAAUGGAAACGGAACAACCGGAGGAAACCUUUCCCAACACUGAAACCAAUGGCGAAUUUGGUAAACGCCCUGCUGAAGAUAUGGAAGAAGAACAAGCUUUUAAAAGAUCUAGAAACACUGAUGAGAUGGUUGAACUGCGCAUCCUGCUUCAGAGCAAGAAUGCUGGGGCAGUGAUUGGGAAAGGAGGCAAGAAUAUUAAGGCUCUCCGUACAGACUACAAUGCCAGUGUUUCAGUCCCAGACAGCAGUGGCCCCGAGCGCAUAUUGAGUAUCAGUGCCGAUAUUGAAACAAUUGGAGAAAUUCUGAAGAAAAUCAUCCCUACCUUAGAAGAGUACCAGCACUAUAAAGGAAGCGACUUUGACUGCGAGUUGAGAUUGUUGAUUCAUCAGAGUCUGGCAGGAGGAAUUAUUGGGGUCAAAGGUGCUAAAAUCAAAGAACUUCGGGAGAACACUCAGACAACAAUCAAGCUUUUCCAGGAAUGUUGUCCUCAGUCCACUGACAGAGUCGUUCUCAUUGGAGGAAAACCUGAUAGGGAUGUAGAGUGUAUAAAGAUCAUCCUUGAUCUCAUAUCAGAGUCGCCCAUUAAAGGACGUGCUCAGCCUUAUGAUCCCAAUUUUUAUGAUUAAACGUAUGAUUAUGGUGGCUUUACAAUGAUGUUUGAUGAUCGCCGUGGACGUCCUGUGGGAUUUCCCAUGCGGGGAAGAGGUGGUUUUGACAGAAUGCCUCCUGGUCGAGGAGGGCGUCCCAUGCCUCCAUCUAGAAGAGAUUAUGACGGUGGCCGGGGGGGUAGCAGAGCUAGGAAUCUUCCUCUUCCACCACCACCACCACCUAGAGGAGGAGAUCUAAUGGCUUAUGACAGAAGAGGAAGACCUGGAGACCGCUAUGAUGGCAUGGUUGGUUUCAGUGCUGAUGAAACCUGGGACUCUGCAAUUGAUACAUGGAGCCCAUCAGAGUGGCAGAUGGCUUAUGAACCACAGGGUGGAUCUGGAUAUGAUUAUUCCUAUGCAGGGGGUCGUGGCUCAUACGGUGAUCUUGGUGGACCUAUUAUUACUACACAAGUAACUAUUCCCAAAGAUUUGGCUGGAUCUAUUAUUGGCAAAGGUGGUCAGCGGAUUAAACAAAUCCGUCAUGAAUCAGGAGCUUCGAUCAAAAUUGAUGAGCCUUUAGAAGGGUCCGAAGAUCGGAUCAUUACCAUUACAGGAACACAGGACCAGAUACAGAAUGCACAGUAUUUGCUGCAGAACAGUGUGAAGCAGUAUGCAGAUGUUGAAGGAUUCUAAUGCAAGAUAUUUUUUCUUUUUUAUAGUGUGAAGCAGUAUUCUGGAAAGUUUUUCUAAGACUAGUGAAGAACUGAAGGAGUCCUGCAUCUUUUUUUUUUUUAUCUGCUUCUGUUUAAAAAGCCAACAUUCCUCUGCUUCAUAGGUGUUCUGCAUUUGAGGUGUAGUGAAAUCUUUGCUGUUCACCAGAUGUAAUGUUUUAGUUCUUACAAACAGGGUUGGGGGGUGGGGGAGGGCGUGCAAAAACUAACAUUGAAAUUUUGAAACAGCAGCAGAGUGAGUGAAUUUUAAUUUUUGUUCAUUGUUGGUGGUUUAAAAAAAAAUUCCCCCAUGUAAUUAUUGUGAACACUUUGCUUUGUGGUCACUAAAACAUUUGGGGGAUGGGGGGACAGGGAAAAAAAGUAACAAUAGUCCAUAUGUCCCUGGCAUCUAUUCAGAGCAGUGUGCAGAAUGUAAUGCUCUUUUGUAAGAAACGUUUUAUGAUUUUUAAAAUAAAUUUAGUGAACC
rnacentral:lncRNA from 1 species